AUUUCUGAUUGCCAAUGGCAAGGCUGGAAUCGCUACUUUCGGUAACCCGUGCGUCGCAGGUUCGAAUCCUGCCGGGGGCGCCA
rnacentral:tRNA from 1 species